UGGGGAAUUUUCCGCAAUGGGCGAAAGCCUGACGGAGCAACGCCGCGUGGGUGAUGAAGUCUUUCGGGACGUAAAACCCUUUCAGCAGGGACGAAGCGAGUGACGGUACCUGCAGAAGAAGCAUCGGCUAACUACGUGCCAGCAGCCGCGGUAAUACGUAGGAUGCGAGCGUUGUCCGGAAUUAUUGGGCGUAAAGAGAACGUAGGUGGUUAAUUAAGUUCGGUCUUAAAGACCGGGGCUCAACCCCGGGAAUGGACUGAAGACUGGUUGACUAGAGGAUGUUAGAGGACGGUGGAAUUCCCAGUGUAGCGGUGAAAUGCGUAGAUAUUGGGAGGAACACCAGUGGCGAAAGCGGCCGUCUGGAACAUUCCUGACACUGAGGUUCGAAAGCUCGGGGAGCAAACAG
rnacentral:rRNA from 1 species